rnacentral:pre_miRNA from 13 species
UACUUGAGACCAUGUGACCUGUGGGCUUCCCUUUGUCAUCCUAUGCCUGGAGAUCACAGUAAGGCAGGGACAGCAAAGGGAUGCUCAGCUGUCUUCUCUUCC